ensembl:lncRNA
CAGAAUGCUACAAACACAUUUACCCAUAAUGCCUGUGUGCAUUUAGGAUGGAAGAAGAGGGGGAGCAUCAGCUGCAAGAAAAUCAAGAGUCAGCCCAUACAGAUGGACCAUCAGCAACAACCACAACAAGAGUAGAAGAACCAGUCCUGUGAGAAACGCCUUUCCAUAAAAGUCACUCUUAUCUGCUGACCUAAAUCCAGCUUCCACUUUCACUGGCCUGCUCUGGUCUGUAAUCACACAAUUCACCCACUGGUUCCAGGUCAGCAUAAAAGGGUCUCUUCUAUCACAGGUUUCUUAAAACUCCACCACUAGGCGGCACUCCAUCCAGAGAAUGAUUGCUGUAUUCAGUAGCAGGAUGUAUGUAACCACGACCAGUGUAUGUUCGCUACCGCAGCUUCCCAGUUAAUGACCGACCCUGAUGUCCACUUUCUGGCCAGUGCCAUCUUAAAGAACAUGCUGUCACCUACCUAUACAAAUCAUAUUUCCACAGAAGUGCAAACCAAUACGUCCUGGAGAAUAUGGCUUGUCACAGAUUUUGUUCGAUGGUAAUUUUAUGUUGCCUUAAGUUCUGAAUGUCAAAGUUUCAAAAUUAAACAGUAGUAUAUGAAUGACAUUGACUCGUUUUAUGCAUUUCUCAUACCAAAGUAAUGUUGUUAAUGUUUUUGUUUUUUUUAAGGAAACGAAAAGAUCAUACAAGAUUUUAUCCAUCAAAUUUCUGUCUGUAUUUGUAAAUUUUAUAUUAUUAAAGAUGUGGACAUGGAGAUAGCUGGUUCAGGUUUGAUCCGACUAUGCAAUCAUCUCGUAGAUUGCUCACUAUCUGAGCCAAUUCUCUACUGUAACGCAACCCAAAUAUGUUGUGUGGCUG